GUCCACAACAUCUUACCCCUCCCGGUGCCUAUGUAAGGUGUGUGGGGUGACUUGUCAUUAGUGAUGCCCAGAGGACAAAGUGAAGCUAUUGAUGCCUCAGCCCAGCUGGGGGACAUUUGUGAGUGAAGUUGAUCCUGAACCUGACCCCAGCCCAGUGGACAUGUCUCAUUAGACGGCAGUGCCCUUGGUGGUAGGUGAGAACAGGUUGGAGCAGGUUGGGUGAGUGCCCCAAAUGCAGUCAAGUGACUUAGUGGGAUAGGUCUUCUAAGACUCUGAGAUAUCAGGGUAGUCUGGGACAGUCUGUCAGGUUCGUUUCUAAUGUGUCUUUUGUGGCCCUGGCCCAGGCUCAGCAUUUCACCCAGUGUCUCAAGACUCUGUUCAGCGUGCUCAACUAUGAACGGACAAAACAUACUAACCUUCUGGGGGCUUCUGUACUGGGCCUGAAUGAUGUCUACAGGACCUGGCGGGCCUUUGUACUGCAUGUACGCACUCUGAACCCGGCACCCAGGAUGUACUUUGUUAAGGCAGAUGUGACCGGGGCAUAUGAUGCCAUCCCGCAGGAGAAGCUUGUGGAGGUUGUUGCCAAUAUGAUCAGACACCCGGAGAACACAUACUGUAUCCGCCAAUAUGCAGUGAUCCAAAGAGAUAGAGAAGGCCAAAUCCACAGGUCCUUCAGGAGACAGGUCUCCACCCUCUCUGACCUCCAGCCACACAUGGGCCAGUUCGUGAGGCAUCUUCAGGACUCAGAUACCAGUGCGCUGAGGAACUCCGUUGUCAUUGAGCAGGUCCUUGGGCUCCCCAUUAAUCGGCCGCACCUGGUGGGGCCUUCCUCCUCUACUUGGCUAUUUGCUUCAGUGUAGGAAUGUGACCAAGGUAUUCCUUGGUGGAGAGUUCCCAUGACCAAGGCCACUCUUUCCUGGUGGCAGUCCCCAUCCCUAUGACAUGACCUAGACUCCCCAAUAGCUACUAAGGUGGGCAUGCUCUGAAGUGCCCUGC
rnacentral:lncRNA from 1 species